rnacentral:rRNA from 1 species
AGCCUACGGGGGGCAGCAGUGGGGAAUAUUGCACAAUGGGGGAAACCCUGAUGCAGCGACGCCGCGUGAGUGAGGAAGUAUUUCGGUAUGUAAAGCUCUAUCAGCAGGGAAGAAAAUGACGGUACCUGACCAAGAAGCCCCGGCUAACUACGUGCCAGCAGCCGCGGUAAUACGUAGGGGGCAAGCGUUAUCCGGAUUUACUGGGUGUAAAGGGAGCGUAGGUGGCAGGGCAAGUCAGAUGUGAAAACUCGGGGCUCAACUCCGGGAGUGCAUUUGAAACUGUCCAGCUAGAGUGCAGGAGAGGG